rnacentral:tRNA from 1 species
AGGAAUUUAGGUUAAUUUAGACCGAGAGCCUUCAAAGCUCUAAGCAAGUGGCCUUACUUAAUUCCUG